rnacentral:rRNA from 1 species
UGGGGAAUCUUCCGCAAUGGACGAAAGUCUGACGGAGCAACGCCGCGUGAGUGAAGACGGCCUUCGGGUUGUAAAGCUCUGUUAUACGGGACGAACGAGAGUAUAGUUAAUACCUAUAUUCUGUGACGGUACCGUAAGAGAAAGCCACGGCUAACUACGUGCCAGCAGCCGCGGUAAUACGUAGGUGGCAAGCGUUGUCCGGAAUUAUUGGGCGUAAAGGGCGCGCAGGCGGUUUUACAAGUCGGUCUUAAAAGUGCGGGGCUCAACCCCGUGAGGGGACGGAAACUGUAAAACUGGAGUAUCGGAGAGGAAAGCGGAAUUCCUAGUGUAGCGGUGAAAUGCGUAGAUAUUAGGAGGAACACCAGUGGCGAAAGCGGCUUUCUGGACGAUAACUGACGCU